GUCCCUUCCGAGACAUCCGAUAAAAUUGGAACGAUACACAAAAGAUUAAUAUGGCCCUCGCAUAAGAAAGACACUCACAAAUUGAGAAAUGGUCCAAGUUUAU